rnacentral:tRNA from 1 species
GGCGGCGUAGCUCAGCGGUAGAGCAGGAGAAUCAUAAUCUCUUGGUCGGUGGUUCAAAUCCGCCCGCCGCUA